rnacentral:rRNA from 1 species
ACUCCUACGGGAGGCAGCAGUGGGAAUCUUGGACAAUGGGGGAACCCUAGAUCCAGCCAUGCCGCGUGAGCGAUGAAGGCCUUAGGGUUGUAAAGCACUUUCAGUGGGGAGGAAAGGUUGUUGGUUAAUACCUAACAGCUGUGACGUUACCCACAGAAGAAGCACCGGCUAACUCCGUGCCAGCAGCCGCGGUAAUACGGAGGGUGCAAGCGUUAAUCGGAAUUACUGGGCGUAAAGCGUGCGCAGGCGGUCUGUUAAGCGAGAUGUGAAAG